rnacentral:rRNA from 1 species
UGGGGAAUAUUGCACAAUGGGCGCAAGCCUGAUGCAGCCAUGCCGCGUGUAUGAAGAAGGCCUUCGGGUUGUAAAGUACUUUCAGCGGGGAGGAAGGGAGUAAAGUUAAUACCUUUGCUCAUUGACGUUACCCGCAGAAGAAGCACCGGCUAACUCCGUGCAAGCAGCCGCGGUAAUACGGAGGGUGCAAGCGUUAAUCGGAAUUACUGGGCGUAAAGCGCACGCAGGCGGUUUGUUAAGUCAGAUGUGAAAUCCCCGGGCUCAACCUGGGAACUGCGUCUGAUACUGGCAAGCUUGAGUCUCGUAGAGGGGGGUAGAAUUCCAGGUGUAGCGGUGAAAUGCGUAGAGAUCUGGAGGAAUACCGGUGGCGAAGGCGGCCCCCUGGACGAAGACUGACGCUCAGGUGCGAAAGCGUGGGGAGCAAACAGG